CCUACGGGUGGCAGCAGUCGGGACUAUUGCGCAAUGGAGGAAACUCUGACGCCGUGACGCCGCGUAUAGGAAGAAGGUUUUCGGAUUGUAAACUAUUGUCGUUAUGGAAGAUAAAAGACUGUACCUAAGGAGGAAGCCCCGGCUAACUAUGUGCCAACAGCAGCGGUAAUACAUAGGGUGCAAGCGUUAUCCCGACUUAUUGGGUGUAAAGGGUGCGUUGACGGAAGAACAAGUUGGUUGGGGAAUCCCUCAGGUUAACUGGGGAAAUGCAACCAAAAACUAUUCUCGUUGAGUGUCGGAGAGGAAAGUGGAAUUCCUAGUGUAGCGGUGAAAUGCGUAGAUAGUAGGAGGAACACCAGUGGCGAAGGCGACUUUCUGGACGAUAACUGACGUUGAGGCACGAAAGUGUGGGGAGCAAACAGGAUUAGAUACCCUUGUAGUC
rnacentral:rRNA from 1 species